UUCCCGUUCGAUCAUCUAAGUUAAGCAACGUCGAGCCUGGUCAGUACCAAGGUGGAUAACUGUUUGGGAAUACCAGGUGCUGUAAG